GGAUCUAGUAGCUUAAUUGGUCAAGUACUUCCCUGUCACGGAAGGGUAUCUCGGUUCGAAUCCGGGUUAGUUCG
rnacentral:tRNA from 1 species